AGCGAACGCUGGCGGCAGGCUUAACACAUGCAAGUCGAGCGGGCAUCUUCGGGUGUCAGCGGCGGACGGGUGAGUAACGCGUGGGAACGUGCCUUCUGGUUCGGAAUAACUCAGGGAAACUUGAGCUAAUACCGGAUACGCCCUUUUGGGGAAAGGUUUACUGCCGGAAGAUCGGCCCGCGUCUGAUUAGCUAGUUGGUGGGGUAACGGCCUACCAAGGCGACGAUCAGUAGCUGGUCUGAGAGGAUGAUCAGCCACACUGGGACUGAGACACGGCCCAGACUCCUGCGGGAGGCAGCAGUGGGGAAUAUUGGACAAUGGGGGCAACCCUGAUCCAGCCAUGCCGCGUGAGUGAUGAAGGCCUUAGGGUGGUAAAGCUCUUUUAUCCGGGACGAUAAUGACGGUACCGGAGGAAUAAGCCCCGGCUAACUUCGUGCCAGCAGCCGCCGUAA
rnacentral:rRNA from 1 species